AUGCCAACUCUGUCGCGAGUGGCGGCGGCUGCUAAGUCUGAUCUGGAAAACUACUUCGACCACUUGGAUCUCAACGACGAGGAGUUCGAGGAUGUAGAGAUUGAUGAGGAUGAUCCUGCGAUUAAAGAAAGUGUCCGGUGGCUUGCCCUAGCUAGGGUUCACACUGACAAAAACUUCAGCCAAUCUGCGUUUUACAAGCAUAUGCGAGCUGCAUGGAAUCCGGCGCAGCACGUGAGGUUUCAGCCUGUUGGACCUAAUCACUUCAUCGUCCAGGCGUCAUGCUUGGGGGAUUUGGAGCGCAUGAUGAAGCAGGGUCCGUGGCUGUUUCGUAAUUGGGCUGUACUGAUGUGCCCAUAUGAUGGGUUUAGUAGAGCGGAGGAUGUAAUCUUCGUCCACAUGCCGAUCUGGCUUCAAAUCCACAAGUUACCUGAUCCUUAUUGCAAGAAGAACAUUGUGGAGAAACUCUUGAAAGGUGCAGGAGAGAUCAUGGAGAUGCGUCUGGAUGGAAACACUAGAGGUGACUAUAUAAGGGUGCGGGUGAAUCAUGACAUCCAACAGCCUCUUACGAAAUUUGUUAGUGUUGUUCGAGCAAAGGAACGACAAGUAUAUCUGGUUUGA
rnacentral:rRNA from 1 species